GACGAACGCUGGCGGCGUGCCUAAUACAUGCAAGUCGAACGCAGUGGGGACGGGUGAGUAACACGUGGGUAACCUUCCAUCAGAGGGGAUAACACUUGGAAACAGGUGCUAAACCGAUACUGAUGGAUGGACCCGCGGUGAAUUAGCUAGUUGGUGAGGUAACGGCUCACCAAGGCCACGAUGCAUAGCCGGUCUGUGAGGGUUAUCCGCCACACUGGGACUGAGACACGGCACAGACUCCUACGUGAGGCAGCAGUGGGGAAUCUUCGGCAAUGGACAAAAGUCUGACCGAGCAAGGACGCGUGAGUGAAGAAGGUUUUCGGAUCGUAAAUCACUGGUGUUAGAGAAGCGGUAUCUAACCAGAAAGCAACGGCUUACUACGUGCCAGCCGCCGCGGUAAUAC
rnacentral:rRNA from 1 species